CUGAAAAAAUGCUGAAAAACCGCAUUAAUACUGUAUAAUUGCGACAUUUUUUCGGCAUUUACAAAACCGCUAGGGAAAAAAAAAUAAAAUGUAUUAGUACGAACUGCC